rnacentral:rRNA from 1 species
UUGAAAUAAAAGUUACUUGGAUAACUGCGGUAAUUCUGGAGCUAAUACAUGCAUAAAGCCUCAACUCACGAAGGGGCGCUUUUAUUAGAUCAAAACCAAACGGCUUCGGCUGUACUCUUGGUGACUCUGAAUAACUUUGGGCUGAUCGCAUAGCCUUGCGCUGGCGACAUAUCCUUCGAAGGUGUGCCCUAUCAACUGUCGACUGUGGCAUAGACGCCCACAGUGGUUUUGACGGGUAACGGGGAAUCAGGGUUCGAUUCCGGAGAGGGAGCCUUAAAAACGGCUACCACAUCUAAGGAAGGCAGCAGGCACGCAAAUUACCCAAUGACCGAAGGUCGAGGUAGUGACGAAAAAUAACUAUACCGGACUCUUCCUAGGUCCUCUAAUUGGAAUGAGUACACUUUAAAACCGUCCCCGAGGAUCUAUUGGAGGGCAAGUCUGGUA